GUCCACGCCGUAAACGAUGAAUGCUAGACGUUGGCGAGCAUGCUCGUCAGUGUCGCAGCUAACGCAUUAAGUAUUCCGCCUGGGGAGUACGGUCGCAAGAUUAAAACUCAAAGGAAUUGACGGGGGCCCCGCACAAGCGGUGGAGCAUGUGGUUUAAUUCGAAGCAACGCGCAGAACCUUACCAACCCUUGACAUGGGACGUAUGGGCUCGAGAGAUCGGGUCCUUCAGUUCGGCUGGCGUCCACACAGGUGCUGCAUGGCUGUCGU
rnacentral:rRNA from 1 species